AGUGAACGCUGGCGGCGUGCUUAACACAUGCAAGUCGAACGAGAACGGAAUAUAGCUUGCUAUAUAUGUCAGCUAAGUGGCGCACGGGUGAGUAAUGUAUAGAUAACCUGCCCUUAAGAAAGGAAUAACAGUUGGAAACGACUGCUAAUGCCCUAUAUGCCUUUAAUACAUAAGUAUGCAAGGGAAACGCUUUAGUGCUUAAGGAUGGGUCUGUAUGGUAUCAGCUUGUUGGUGAGGUAAUGGCUCACCAAGGCUAUGACGCCUAACUGGUUUGAGAGGAUGAUCAGUCACACUGGAACUGAGACACGGGCCAGACUCCUACGGGAGGCAGCAGUGGGGAAUAUUGCACAAUGGACGAAAGUCUGAUGCAGCAACGCCGCGUGGAGGAUGACACAUUUCGGUGCGUAAACUCCUUUUAUAUAGGAAGAUAAUGACGGUACUAUAUGAAUAAGCACCGGCUAACUCCGUGCCAGCCGCCGCGGUAA
rnacentral:rRNA from 1 species